UUUUUUAGGCAUGAUAACAGUUUAUAUUGAUCCGAUAUUGGUAUUAUUUCGAGAUCGGUCGGUUUUUUGUUCGUGUCCUCGAUUUUAAGUAGUGAGGUUUUACUUUGUGGGUUAGAUAAAUUCUUUAUACCAGUUGAUGGUGCCCUUAAAACUCUCCCAUCUUUCAAUCUCAGCCGUAAUAACUCAAGAAUUACGGCUAAUCGACCAACGGUUUUCAGCUCCUCCCCGCAUUUCUCACAGUCGAUCGUUUCUCCUCCUAUGUUCAAUCGGUUUUCAGGUUCCUUCCAAGACAUGGUAGUUCUCCUUCAAUCAUCACGAUACGGAACCUUCUUAGUCGGUAACUGCCCAAACCACGACCUAGAAAUCGGGCUUAUAUAAAUAUAUAAUGAUCCGUCUAUGUUUAAUGGUUCUAUGUUUCAAUCAAUGUAUUGAAUUGCUUCAUUUGAUGUUAACAAUUAUGGAUUCAAGUUCAGCUAAAAAUAGUUCACCUAAGGUAAAUUUAUCGACUUCUACUUAAUUUUUCAAUGUUUCAAUGAGUUUCAUCAAUUGAUUCCUUUUGUGAACAAUUAUCGAUAUACAAUUUCGUCUCAAAUAGUCUUCAACUAAGGUAAAAUCUUUACAAUUAGUUAAUUUUAUGUUUUACAUUCGUAGUUUUUUACCAUCCGACUUCGAUUUGUACUUCAUUUCAUCUUCAAUUUCGUUGUAUAAUCGACUUUAAUGUUCAUUUAUGUUUGUAUAAUCGACAAUCUUAUUGCUUUGAUCUGUAUCGUACUCAAUUUCAGGUUUCUUAAAUUCUUAAUGUAUACCGAUUAAAUUGGUUUGUUUGGGCUCUUUGGCUUUCAAUAAGGACCUGAUUAUUUAACAACUAGCAGAAGGAUAAUCUGCAAACCACAGGAAGAGGUUUGAUGUCUAAGAAUGAUGAUACUGAAGAUUUGAUGCUUGAACAUGAAUUAUAUUUAAUCACUCUACAAUCCCGUCUUAUAAAACUCCACAUACCUCAAAAUUGUCUCAAAAUUACAACUGUUCAAUAUUUUUCUUAUUCUUGUCAAUAUUUUCCAGUAAUCAAAUGAACCUAGCAUUUAAUUAUCUUUAUUCAACCUCCUGAAACUUUAUAUGUUUUGUUCGCUAAUAUCCAUUUUCAACAAUUUCAUUUCUUUAAGCAUUUAAAUUUAUAAAGUUGAAGUCCCAUAGAUUGGGCACAACUUUUUCCUAACCCGAUAUGUUGCUCCAAUUAGUACUUUGUGAUGUUUCAAAUGAAAAUUUUCAAUGAUGGGGACUUCAUGGAAAGUAAAAGAAAAUAAAAAAGGUUUUGAUCUAGAUCGUGUGUGUUGAGCUGACAAAAAUCGACCCAACCCGCCAACCCAACCUAAAAUUAGCGGGUUGGGUUGAAAUUUUCAACCCAUUUAACUUAAAUGGGUCAACCGUCUAACCCAUUUAAUUAAAUAGAUUGGGUUGGAUAUAAAUUAUCAACUCGUUUUCAACCCGUCAAUCUAUUUAACUUUAAUAUAUAUAUAUAUAUAUAUAUAUAUAUAU